UACGUAGGGGGCAAGCGUUGUCCGGAUUUAUUGGGCGUAAAGCGCGUGUAGGCGGCUAGAUAGGUCCGCUGUGAAAACUUGAGGCUCAACCUCAAGAGGUCGGUGGAAACCAUCUAGCUAGAGUCCGGAAGAGGAGAGUGGAAUUCCUGGUGUAGCGGUGAAAUGCGCAGAUAUCAGGAAGAACACCCGUGGCGAAGGCGGCCCACUGGUCCGGUACUGACGCUGAGGUGCGAAAGCGUGGGGAGCAAACAGG
rnacentral:rRNA from 1 species